rnacentral:rRNA from 1 species
UGCCAGCCGCCGCGGUAAUACGUAGGGUCCAAGCGUUGUCCGGAAUUACUGGGUAUAAAGGGUCCGCAGGCGGGCUUGUGCGUCCAGGGUUAAAGACCACGGCUCAACCGUGGGAGUGCCCUGGAUACGGCAGGUCUUGAGUACGAGAGAGGUAAGUAGAAUUCCUGGUGUAGCGGUGAAAUGCGUAGAUAUCAGGAGGAAUACCAGUGGCGAAGGCGGCUUACUGGCUCGUUACUGACGCUCAGGGACGAAAGUGUGGGGAGCAAACAGGAUUAGAUA